rnacentral:rRNA from 1 species
GUAGGUGGCAAGCGUUGUCCGGAAUUAUUGGGCGUAAAGCGCGCGCAGGCGGUCCUUUAAGUCUGAUGUGAAAGCCCACGGCUCAACCGUGGAGGGUCAUUGGAAACUGGGGGACUUGAGUACAGAAGAGGAAAGCGGAAUUCCAAGUGUAGCGGUGAAAUGCGUAGAGAUUUGGAGGAACACCAGCGGCGAAGGCGGCUUUCUGGUCUGUAACUGACGCUGAGGCGCGAAAGCGUGGGGAGCAAACAGGAUUAGAUACCCUGUAGUCCACGCCGUAAACGAUGAGUGCUAAGUGUUAGGGGGUUUCCCGCCCCCUUAGUGCUGCAGCUAACGCAUUAAGCACUCCGCCUGGGGAGUACGGCCGCAAGGCUG